GGAGAGGCAGCUGGUCAGUCAGGAGUGUAACAGAACCCACGACCAGCUGUGUGAGUGUAUCCCAGGCUACCACCUGGUGGUGGAGUUCUGCAUCAAACACACGUCCUGUCCACCUGGCUUCGGCGUGACUGCUCUAGGUACACCAGAGAUAGACACAGCGUGUGAGGCGUGUCCGCAGGGCCUGUUCUCCAGCCGGAUGUCUGCCAGCGAGCCGUGUGUGCCUCACAGGAACUGCUCUGAGCUGGGCUUGAAGACCCUCCGACCAGGGACCCCCACCCAGAACACACUGUGUGAGAACAAGGCUGAAGGAUCUGUCCUGGAGUGCUCCCAACACCACACACAGUGUCACACUGACGUGUCGCUGUGUGAGGAGGCCAUCUUCCAGUCUCUGGCGUCUCUCCGUCUGUCCUCCGUCCCCUGGAGCG